AGCUGAUGCCCUCAUUCACCGCCGCAGCAUCCAGGUUGCCUGGAAAAUGUACCUGCACACUCUCUGUGAUCUUUCACUCAAGAUAAGGAACUGUGACUUCCCCAAAAUCAGGCAGUUGCUGGGUUUAGAAGGAUUCCCUUGUUGCUGAAUCUUUAGACCAAGGAGGCUUCACACCCAGCAUGGAGCCCAAUGUGGUGCUUGAACUCAUGACCCUGAGAUCAAGAUCCAAGCUGAGAUCAAGAAUCAGAUGCUUAAUGGACUGAGCCACCCAGGCGCCCCUGUAACAAAUAAUUCCAUUAAAUACUGUUGAAACAGUAUUUUACCGAGGGAGGCUUACAGAUAUAUUUUGCAGCCAACAUGAUAUGCUAAGGUACUUGAAGGCAAGAACUGUGCCUCAUUUACUGCAGGAUCUUCAGGAAAUACCACAAUGCUAGUGUUACAGGAUUUCUCCUCCUCUGGUGCUUGGGGUUCUUGGUCAUGCCGUUUUGAAGAAUGAAGAGGUAAGACCAGCAGAAGAGUGGUGGGCAGCAAAGCAAUGUUUAUUGAGUGACAGUGAAAUUUAUUGAGUGAUAGAGUACAAAGGUCCCAAAGAGGUAGAGGACCUGAGAGGGUGGCCCUCAGAGUUUCUAAGUCUAGGGUUUUUGCUUUUUAAAAAAUUUUAUUUAUUUGAUGGAGAGAGAAUAAGCAGGGGGAGCAGCAGGAGAGGAAGAAGCAGGCUCCCUGGAGCAGGAUGAGGGAUUUGAUCCAGAGACCCUGGGAUCAUGAACCAAGCCAAGGACAGACACCUGACCAACUGAGCCACCCAG